rnacentral:rRNA from 1 species
GACGAACGCUGGCGGCGUGCUUAACACAUGCAAGUCGAACGGUGAAGCGCCUUCCUUUUUGGUGGGUGUGGAUGAGUGGCGAACGGGUGAGUAACACGUGAGUAACCUGCCCCCUUCUUCUGGAUAACCGCAUGAAAGUGUGGCUAAUACGGGAUAUUCUGGGUCUGUCGCAUGAUGGGUCUGGGAAAGAUAUUGUUUCGGUGGGGGAUGGGCUCGCGGCCUAUCAGCUUGUUGGUGGGGUGAUGGCCUACCAAGGCGGUGACGGGUAGCCGGCCUGAGAGGGUGGGGGGUUCCAGUGGAGCAGAGCCCGGGCCGAGCCCCCUUCGGGGGGGAGCGGUGGGGAAGUUUGCAGAAAGGGCGCAAGCUUAUUCGGGCGACGCCGGGGGAGGAGUGGGGCCCUUCGGGUUGUGAACCUCUUUGGCCUGUGAAGGAGACCUGCACUGUUUGUGGGUGGGUCAACGGUAGCUGGAUAAGAAGCGCCGGAAAAAUACGU